ACGGUUAAGUCCUUACCUGGUUAGUAAGAUAUAUUGUUUUUGAUAAAAUGUAGAAUAUAAUAAAGUCAACUAUUUACUAGCGUUCAAAUCCCAAAAGUGCACUCCCCAAAACCCUAGAGCUUACGUAUUUCUAUCCCCAAAAUGACGUCAUAGGCCCGGCCGGGCUACCGGGACACCGGAAGUGGCCCGGCGGGGGAAAACAAAAUGGCCGGAUCUACAAGAGUAAAUAAUAAAACGGAGAUAGAAUAAAAGAAAAGAAAGUUAACCAAACCCCUGAAAUAUUUAAGGACUAACAGUAAAGUGACUACCGUCACACUCCCUCCCUCUUAAGACCUAAUGUGCCGAAACACAUUAGUCCAAAGUGGCAAGAAUAUAACCUAAAAUAUAUAAUUUAAAAACAUACACAAGUGAUUAACAAUAUG
rnacentral:lncRNA from 1 species